GGCGUGGUGAAUGAAGAGUUUAUAUUCUGAUGGGAUCUGAAGUUGAGCCCUCUAGUGCCUUCGAGAGUGACAAGAGACAAGUCGUUGAUUAACGAUCCGGUGCUAGAACGUCCGAUGAACUGACCACGGCUCUGCUGAAGUUGAGCGCUGGCAAGUUGAUUACUGAUGCCGAGGAUGCAGAAGACACUCGUGAGUUCAGUUUUUGCUGCAUUGCCUGCGCGUGGGUGGAGAACCGAUGCCGGUGGACAAUAUUCGGGAUGAACGAGCGGAAUAUGCCGCUCCCUAGUAAUGAGCCUGCCACCGGAACCGCUUCAUCCAGUUAAGCUUCUUUUGACGACACACAGUUACACAUAUCAUCGACGUGCAAUGUACGAUGUACGGUGGUGUGUAACAUCGAUUACUUGUUGGGCAUAAGAUCAGGUGCGAGACUGAUACCUUGCACCGACUACUCAAUAUUCAACCAUCAUCCAUUGUGUCAAGGUUAAAUUGACUGAUGUGUACGGACGCAUCUCAUAUAUUAUCGUUACGUGAAAAAAAAGAAGAUUUAAUAAAACAGCGAGACGACAAAACAUCGACACCAACAACGAUUGACCGAGUCACUGACCGCGUCAAUGGAAGGACUGAAGUCGCAGCAGCAACGGAGCGGCAACUUCAUGCGCACCAUGCGAGGUUGCGGCGUCCGAACGAUCUUGCAUCGGGAUUCCGCCAUCAGCCUCUUCAUCUGCGGGAUGGACGGUAAUGUGUCGAUUGCCACGCGAUACAGAGGAGUAGACCCAAUUAGAUUAUAUGCCCAAACGGAGCGGCGGUACAAACCCGCCUCAGACUCUGGCACAGAACAUGCACAAUACCGACAACAUGUACACCCAGCUGCGGUACCACAACUGCUGCUUGAAUCGCAAAUGAAAGACAAAUAACAAAGCAUCUGGAAAAGCAAUUGAACAAGCAGCAUUCACCAUAAACAAGUGCGUGACCCGAAACAACAGGCGCGCCUCCACCAAAAAAGAUGAGUGUGUAACGAGUGGAAUACGAGUUCUUGUAGUCGUAGUAAUUGCUGUUCUUCUUGUUCAAGAAGUAGACUAUCCGUCUUACGUCACAUCAUCAUCAUCAUCAUCAUCGUCAUCGUCGUCGUCGUCGUCGUCGUUAUCGCUAUUGCAAGCAUGGGCGAUUAUUAUAAUAUGGCUAGCAAAAGGACAAAUGUUGUUCCAAUUUCUGCGAGCAGAAUGUCACCCAGUCAGAUGUGUGACCAGUGCUUUGUAAAUGGAAUCCAUUCAAUAAGAAGGCGAAUAAGUAACUUAACUAGGAUGUUGUAUAAAAUAAUAGUUAAGGUGCUAAUAACUACAAUUGUAAACAUACUCAGGUUAUGGCAAAGAUAGGUUGAAACUCUGCAGUGUAGAAAAUGGAGCAGUAGCAGCGUCUGGCAUAGCAUCAAUACAAUGCGGUUUUUUUUUAUAGACAGACAUUGCGUCGUUGAAGUGCAACAUGUUUCCCUUUUCAGUCCCCAGAAGAAAAACGUUAAAGGUGCGAUAAAACAGGCAGUUAGGAGAAGAGCGCAAGGCGAGAGGCUCAGAAAAUUAUAGUAGUUAGAGCCACGAAGCAGACUAUCCGAAACCGAUAUCGCCCAUUAUGAUAACGUCGAUCGAAGUAAAAUAUAAACAGGCCACUAACGAAGGUAAGUACUGAGCCUAAAAUUACGCCACAAUGAAUGAUAAAAACCAUGGAAGAUCCUGAAAUGCCGCCUGACUAAAUUGACGGAUUUGUCUGACCAGCCAAAGAAAAUGACAGCCGUCAUGGACUUCGCAUUCGAAGAUGUACUCCCUUUUUCUUUUUUUUUUUUUUGCAGACAACCAUUUACGCACACAUGAGGAUCAUUUGAGUGACUUUGAUUUUUAUUCUAACGCUGUCAAAUAAGUAUAUACACAUACGCUCAUGCACUGUGAAGAAAAUGACAAAGUGCCAGAGUUACUUGAGAAACAAUUUGAUCUGGUAAGACAUUUGUCGGUUAAUAGAAGAUCUUCCGUUCCCGUAGGAUUUCAAAUGGACAUCACUAUUAUGCUUCUUACAACUAUGACCACGUGUACCGAGUGUGCGCGCUGCACACUUAAAAAGGAGAUAGGCGUUGGCAUAGGAUGUUGGAAGAGAUACGGACAACCUGUUUAUUAUACUUAUGACGAUAGAAGGCUAUAGCGAGCGGGCGGUCCGGCCCCAAGGCGGGUUGAAAGGGGUUUCUAUCUCCAACUACAGUGAUAGACCAGGAAUACUUAGACUGGAAUUAAAGAUGAGUUUAUAGGCGGACACUUUUCCUUAUCGCGCGGAGGGCCGCACCGCUUGCGCCCUGGCGAUAUAGAGAAGAAGAGCGGCGAAGAUGGCGCAGUGAAAGUUAGCAGUUGUAGUAAUAGUAGCAUCAGUAGUAGAACAGUUGGUGAGAUAGGACAAUUUUGCUUGGCCGGUGAGUAGCAUAGUUGCUGGAGUCAGCGAAAGAGCUGAUCAGCGUGAGCUCAAUGAAAGAAUGAGUACUAUCACUGAAGCUCGCCCGGCUCGGGGGUUUGGGUUCAACUACCGUGGCCUGUUGUAAGCGGAGAGAGUUCCUGGUUGUUCCGGCAGUCGGCGUUUUGGCUGGGGUGGCGACGUUGUCUAUCUGCUGAAAGGUGUCCCUUGGACUUAUAAGAUGAACUACUAUGAACUGUUUGGGUAGUGUAUGAAUAAAAAAGUUACUGCAACAACCAUGAUGUAAUCAUAUUACGUGAUUCUGAUUUUAUACAUGCUUGCGAGUAUAUACACGCUCGUAUUUUACUGUUAUUUUGUAUCCUACUACAAGAAUUGGUCACUUAUAUAUGUAUAUAUUGAGAUUAGAUGAAUUUAUUGGUACAUAGAAAGAUAUGAUGGACCGGAUAAGCACACCCACUAAUAUAUGCCUUGUUGCAUAUAUGUAACAAAGUUUGUUGGAAACUUGUGCUUCCAUGCGCCGUUAAUGGCUCGUUAGUUUUUCUCUUAUGGGGAAAAUAAUGGCGCUGGAAGGGGAAGCCCAAAGGGGUCAUCGUCAAUGUUUUACAAGUAUCUUACUGAGAAAAAGGAAGCUCCUUGUGUGGCCAUUAACAGAAACAGUUUGACCAAUAUAUUAUAUGCGGUUAUCAGCUUAGGAGUAUUUUGCCUACGUGUGAACGUAUUGGGUUCCCAUACGCGAACGACGCUUUGAACAUGUGCAGACGUGACGAAGCAUCUGACAACAAGGGCCACGUCUCUGUGCGCUAACAGAUGGCCAGUUACCAUCGAAAAAGGUUUUCAGGUUUAUAUUUUCAUGAGUGUCCCGCAAUCGCGCCUUAUUCAAGAACUGAGAGCAAAAGACCGACAGAGACUCGCAAACAGCACCGAGGAGCGUAAGGAUGAUACCAGCUUGCGAGUUGACGCCGACCGCAGUCACGAGAACCUUCCCACUGCCCUCCAUCACAUGAGUAC